AUAGGGUCUAGACCUGGCAUAUCUUCAUACGACCAUGCAAAAAUAUCCGGAUAUUCCCGGAGGAGCUGGAUGACCUUCUGUUUAACCCCUUCCUCUAGAGUAGCACCAAUCUUGAUUUCUCGCUUGUUUUCCUCGGUACCUAUGUUGAUAAGCUCAAUUUCUUCCUGG
rfam:Medicago truncatula strain A17 unplaced genomic scaffold scaffold0159, whole genome shotgun sequence.